GUAUGUUUAUGCUGGAGAAGAAGAGCAGAAAUAAAUUUUCUUCUCAUGGUAAUGGUCUAGAGGCUUUUUUCCUUGUCAGACCAUUGGUCCAUCAGGCUAUGACUCCUGUUCUGUGCUCCUGUCUCUCUGUGGAAGACAGGAAGGAAGGAAGGAAGGAAGGAAGGUGUGAAUCCUGCAUUUGAGCACUUUGCUAAUCAAAAUAUCAUUGGGAACGCGGACAAAUCCUUUGCUGAAAUCCAAAUGAAUUACUUCCACAACAGUGGAGUUACCAAGUGUGCAGGCCUGCAAGAAGACAAAUUUGCACUGUCCACCCAAAGAAGGGAUUUGCACUGUCCACCCAACUUGCUUACAAGUGCAACAAGCAAACUCCACCCCCACCUCAGCCCCAAGGCUUUGGACUGAAUAACCUACCUUUGUCAGGACAAGAAGCCCUCUCUGGCUAUUUUCCACAAGAGCUGAACCUUCCAACCCUCACAGUCAAAGAUGUUUCCCACUCCUAACCAUGCAGAACAUGAGUGAGCUCUACAGAAGCAGAAGCAGUGACCAGUACCACUACUUAAGCUGGACAUCAGGCAUUUAUUUGAAAUGACCUGCUUUGAAAAGGACAAAAAUCCCAAUGGACACCUUUCCAUUGCAACCAGCUGACUCAUCUGCCAUGGCUCUUGGCUAACAAUAUAUUCACAAGCCUCUUCCUCUA